AAAAAAAAAAAAAACCUCUCUCUCUCUCUCUCUCUCUCUCCAACUCCGAUCUAUCUCCUCCGGCUCCAUCCUCCCCACGCUCCUUUCCAUCCAGUGCUCUCCGCCUUUCCACCGACACCCUUGCCGUCUCCAGAGUCGGCGUCGUGUUGCCCGGCCUUUUCUACUCUCGCCGCGUCACCAUCCCCGGCCUCGGAGGCAUCGUCAGCCUCAGCUCUCUCGUUCCCUACGGUUCUCAUCAUCGUCAGGCCAAUCCUCCCGUUGCAAGCAUUGGCGCCGAUAAGGUCGCGCCCUUGAAAACUGUGUCCAACUGCACAGAUUUCUCUCUGGCUGCAUCGAUGCCCUCAUCAACAAUGUCAGCGUUAGUGGGAUGAUUUUGCAACUCAUAUGGCAGAAGCCAGUUACUUCAAGCGACUAGUGCAAUACCUUAAAGAAGGAUUUACAAAUAGAAGACAUGCCGGGAUAAAAGAAGACAUAAGGAAUAAAGUGAGAAGAAGAAGAAGUUCUAGCAAUGAUAAAAGAAAAAAUUAGGAAGAAAGUGAUGAAGAACAUUACUAAAUUAAUUAGUUUUUUGUAACUUUUUAUGGCGUUAUAGAUCUUUUGAAAAAUUCCUUAAUGAAAAAUUCCUUUAUAGAUCUUUUGUAACAAUUCAAGUUUUAGGCAUCUUAUAAAUUGGCCAAGUCAUUAUCA